rnacentral:rRNA from 1 species
CCUACGGGAGGCAGCAGUGAGGAAUCUUGGUCAAUGGGCGCGAGCCUGAACCAGCCAAGCAGCGUGAAGGAUGACUGCUCUACGGUCUGUAAACUUCUUUUAUAAAGGAAUAAAGUGAGGAACGUGUGAAUUUUUGUCUGUGCUUUAUGAAUAAGGAUCGGCUAACUCCGGGUCAGGAGCCGCGGUAAUACGGAGGAUCCGGGCGUUAUCCGGAUUUCUUGGGUUUAAAGGGAGGGUAGCUGGGUGGUUAAGUCAGUUGUGAAAGUUUGCGGCUUAAACGAAAAAUUGCAAUUGAUACUGGCAGUCUUGAGUACAGUAGAGGGAGGCGGAAUUCCAUGUGUAGCGGUGAAAUGCUUAGAUAUCACGAAGAACUCCGAUUGCGAAGGCAGCUUACUAGACUGCCACUGACGUUGAUGCUCGAAAGUGUGGGUAUCAAACAGGAUUAGAUACCCCAGUAGUC